AGUGAACGCUGGCGGUAGGCCUAACACAUGCAAGUCGAACGGCAGCACAGGAGAGCUUGCUCUCUGGGUGGCGAGUGGCGGACGGGUGAGGAAUACAUCGGAAUCUACUCUGUCGUGGGGGAUAACGUAGGGAAACUUACGCUAAUACCGCAUACGACCUACGGGUGAAAGCAGGGGACCUUCGGGCCUUGCGCGAUUGAAUAAGCCGAUGUCGGAUUAGCUAGUUGGCGGGGUAAAGGCCCACCAAGGCGACGAUCCGUAGCUGGUCUGAGGGGAUGAUCAGCCACACUGGAACUGAGACACGGUCCAGACUCCUACGGGAGGCAGCAGUGGGGAAUAUUGGACAAUGGGCGCAAGCCUGAUCCAGCCAUACCGCGUGGGUGAAGAAGGCCUUCGGGUUGUAAAGCCCUUUUGUUGGGAAAGAAAUCCAGCUGGCUAUACCCGGUUGGGAUGACGGUACCCAAAGAAUAAGCACCGGCUAACUUCGUGCCAGCCGCCGCGGUAA
rnacentral:rRNA from 1 species